AGCGAACGCUGGCGGCAGGCCUAACACAUGCAAGUCGAACGAAGUCUUCGGACUUAGUGGCGGACGGGUGAGUAACACGUGGGAACGUGCCUUUAGGUUCGGAAUAACUCAGGGAAACUUGUGCUAAUACCGAAUGUGCCCUUCGGGGGAAAGAUUUAUCGCCUUUAGAGCGGCCCGCGUCUGAUUAGCUAGUUGGUGAGGUAAAGGCUCACCAAGGCUACGAUCAGUAGCUGGUCUGAGAGGAUGACCAGCCACAUUGGGACUGAGACACGGCCCAAACUCCUACGGGAGGCAGCAGUGGGGAAUCUUGCGCAAUGGGCGAAAGCCUGACGCAGCCAUGCCGCGUGGAUGAUGAAGGUCUUAGGAUUGUAAAAUCCUUUCGCCGGUGAAGAUAAUGACUGUAGCCGGAGAAGAAGCCCCGGCUAACUUCGUGCCAGCAGCCGCGGUAAGAC
rnacentral:rRNA from 1 species